UAGGGAAUCUUCCGCAAUGGGCGAAAGCCUGACGGAGCAACGCCGCGUGAGUGAUGAAGGUCUUCGGAUCGUAAAACUCUGUUCAUAGGGAAGAACAAAUGUGUAAGUAACUAUGCACGUCUUGACGGUACCUAAUCAGAAAGCCACGGCUAACUACGUGCCAGCAGCCGCGGUAAUACGUAGGUGGCAAGCGUUAUCCGGAAUUAUUGGGCGUAAAGCGCGCGUAGGUGGUUUUUUAAGUCUGAUGUGAAAGCCCACGGCUCAACCGUGGAGGGUCAUUGGAAACUGGAAGACUGGAGUGCAGAAGAGGAAAGUGGAAUUCCAUGUGUGGCGGUGAAAUGCGCAAAGAUAUGGAGGAACACCAGUGGCGAAGGCGACUUUCUGGUCUGUAACUGACGCUGAUGUGCGAAAGCGUGGGGAUCAAACAGG
rnacentral:rRNA from 1 species